GAUGAACGCUGGCGGCGUGCCUAAUACAUGCAAGUCGAGCGAACAGACGAGGAGCUUGCUCCUCUGACGUUAGCGGCGGACGGGUGAGUAACACGUGGAUAACCUACCUAUAAGACUGGGAUAACUUCGGGAAACGGGAGCUAAUACCGGAUAAUAUAUUGAACCGCAUGGUUCAAUAGUGAAAGACGGUUUUGCUGUCACUAAUAGUUGGACCCGCGCCGCAUUAGCUAGUUGGUAAGGUAACGGCUUACCAAGGCAACGAUGCGUAGCCGACCUGAGAGGGUGAUCGGCCACACUGGAACUGAGACACGGUCCAGACUCCUACGGGAGGCAGCAGUAGGGAAUCUUCCGCAAUGGGCGAAAGCCUGACGGAGCAACGCCGCGUGAGUGAUGAAGGUCUUCGGAUCGUAAAACUCUGUUAUUAGGGAAGAACAAAUGUGUAAGUAACUAUGCACGUCUUGACGGUACCUAAUCAGAAAGCCACGGCUAACUACGUG
rnacentral:rRNA from 1 species